UAGGGCGGGACACGUGGUAUCCUGUCUGAAUAUGGGGGGACCAUCCUCCAAGGCUAAAUACUCCUGACUGACCGAUAGUGAACCAGUACCGUGAGGGAAAGGCGAAAAGAACCCCGGCGAGGGGAGUGAAAAAGAACCUGAAACCGUGUACGUACAAGCAGUGGGAGCACAGAGCAAUCUGUGUGACUGCGUACCUUUUGUAUAAUGGGUCAGCGACUUAUAUUCUGUAGCAAGGUUAACCGAAUAGGGGAGCCGAAGGGAAACCGAGUCUUAACUGGGCGUUAAGUUGCAGGGUAUAGACCCGAAACCCGGUGAUCUAGCCAUGGGCAGGUUGAAGGUUGGGUAACACUAACUGGAGGACCGAACCGACUAAUGUUGAAAAAUUAGCGGAUGACUUGUGGCUGGGGGUGAAAGGCCAAUCAAACCGGGAGAUAGCUGGUUCUCCCCGAAAGCUAUUUAGGUAGCGCCUCGUGAAUUCAUCUCCGGGGGUAGAGCACUGUUUCGGCAAGGGGGUCAUCCCGACUUACCAACCCGAUGCAAACUGCGAAUACCGGAGAAUGUUAUCACGGGAGACACACGGCGGGUGCUAACGUCCGUCGUGAAGAGGGAAACAACCCAGACCGCCAGCUAAGGUCCCAAAGUCAUGGUUAAGUGGGAAACGAUGUGGGAAGGCCCAGACAGCCAGGAUGUUGGCUUAGAAGCAGCCAUCAUUUAAAGAAAGCGUAAUAGCUCACUGGUCGAGUCGGCCUGCGCGGAAGAUGUAACGGGGCUAAACCAUGCACCGAAGCUGCGGCAGCGACGCUUAUGCGUUGUUGGGUA
rnacentral:rRNA from 1 species